GUAAGAGAUGGGUGUGAUCUUCAGCACAGACCUGCGGGGAAAGCCAGGGUGAAACCGAUAAAUGUUGAAUGACAUACUGCUGACAUUCAGAAAACAGCAUACACGCUAACUACUGAAUUAAUAUGCUUCUCAAUAACUUCACUUGCUUUCUCUAACAAUAAGUAAAACAUUUUGGUUCGAGCUAAAACACGAGUAACAACAAGUGAACACUAUGCUAACGUCAGUACACACUAAAUAAAUUAACACGCAACAGACGAUGACACGUUACUCGAUAAAGAAAUGUGCUUGCCAGGUGUACCCAGACUGCAGGCAGUGCCUUGGAAAGCAUAUCUGCAUCCAACGUGUGCCAUCAAAGUAUGCAAAUGAACAUUGAGAGAAGGAUGAAGAGGACAGGGGGGUCCUGCUUGUUAUCUUUGUUGUGUGUUGCCACAAAUCUGUAAAUAAAUUAUAUAAAUGCGGCAU